GACAGAGGUGCCGAGCGUUAGGCGGAAUCACUGGGCUUAAAGCGUGUGUAGGCGGACUUCUAAGUACCUUGUGAAAUCCCACGGCUCAACCGUGGAACUGCUUGGUAUACUGGUCGUCUUGAGCCACCUAGGGGCAACCGGAACAAACGGUGGAGCGGUGAAAUGCGUAGAUAUCGGGAGGAACACCUGAGAUGUAGAUGGCUUACUGGACCGUAACUGACGCUGAGGCACGAAAGCGUGGGUAGCAAACAGG
rnacentral:rRNA from 1 species